CAAAGGAAUUGACGGGGACCCGCACAAGCGGUGGAUGAUGUGGUUUAAUUCGAUGCAACGCGAAAACCUUACCCACCUUUGACAUGUACGGAAUCCUUUAGAGAUAGAGGAGUGCUCGAAAGAGAGCCGUAACACAGGUGCUGCAUGGCUGUCGUCAGCUCGUGUCGUGAGAUGUUGGGUUAAGUCCCGCAACGAGCGCAACCCUUGUCAUUAGUUGCUACAUUCAGUUGGGCACUCUAAUGAGACUGCCGGUGACAAACCGGAGGAAGGUGGGGAUGACGUCAAGUCCUCAUGGCCCUUAUAGGUGGGGCUACACACGUCAUACAAUGGAUGGUACAAAGGGUCGCCAACCCGCGAGGGGGAGCCAAUCCCAUAAAGCCAUUCGUAGUCCGGAUCGCAGUCUGCAACUCGACUGCGUGAAGUCGGAAUCGCUAGUAAUCGUGGAUCAGAAUGUCACGGUGAAUACGUUCCCGGGUCUU
rnacentral:rRNA from 1 species